CCUACGGGUGGCAGCAGUGGGGGAUAUUGCACAAUGGGGGAAACCCUGAUGCAGCGACGCCGCGUGGGUGAAGAAGCGCCUCGGCGCGUAAAGCCCUGUCAGCAGGGAAGAAAAUGACGGUCCCUGAAGAAGAAGCCCCGGCUAACUACGUGCCAGCAGCUGCGGUAAUACGUAGGUGGCAAGCGUUAUCCGGAUUUACUGGGUGUAAAGGGGGCGCAGACGGCGAUGCAAGCCAGGAGUGAAAGCCCGGGGCCCAACCCCGGGACUGCUCUGGAAGCUGCGUGGCUAGAGUGCAGGAGGGGCAGGCGGAAUGCCUGGUGUAGCGGUGAAAUGCGUAGAUAACAGGAGGAACACCGGUGGUGAAGGCGGCCUGCUGGACGUCAACUGACGUUGAGGCCCGAAAGCGUGGGGAGCAAACAGGAUUAGAUACCCUUGUAGUC
rnacentral:rRNA from 1 species